rnacentral:rRNA from 1 species
AGCAGCCGCGGUAAUUCCAGCUCCAAUAGCGUAUAUUAAAGUUGUUGCAGUUAAAAAGCUCGUAGUUGAAUUUCGGAAUCUGUCCGUUGGUCGGGCUUAAUUGUCCGUACUGAUGUGAUGGGUUCUUACCUUCUGAAUAACCAGCAUGCCAUUAAUUUAGUGUGUUGGGGAAGCAGGACUAUUACCUUGAAAAAAUUAGAGUGCUCAAAGCAGGCUAGUGCCUGAAUACAUUAGCAUGGAAUAAUAAAAUAGGACGGCAUGGUUCUAUUUUGUUGGUUUCUAGGAUCACCGUAAUGAUUAAUAGGGAUAGUUGGGGGCAUUAGUAUUCAAUUGUCAGAGGUGAAAUUCUUGGAUUUAUUGAAGACUAACUUCUGCGAAAGCAUUUGCCAAGGAUGUUUUCAUUAAUCAAGAACGAAAGUUAGGGGAUCGAAGACGAUCAGAUACCGUCGUAGUCUUAACCAUAAACUAUGCCGACUAGGGAUCGGACGAUGUUAAUUUUAUAAUGACUCGUUCGGCG